rnacentral:rRNA from 1 species
UUGACCUCGAAUCAGGUAGGGAUACCCGCUGAACUUAAGCAUAUCAAUAAGCGGAGGAAAAGAAACCAACAGGGAUUACCUCAGUAACGGCGAGUGAAGCGGCA